AGGUUUGCAUCUGAAUCACAGAGCUGGUGGGGGCCCGAGCACUUGGCCACGUGGACCAGAUUGAUGCCAUUGUCUCGGCACACUGACCUUUGCUCUAAAGGUCCAGUGAGUGACCUAUUUGAGCCACGCAGCAGAGUGACCCCCCAUGCCCCCUCACACCCACUACCACGACCCGUCUCUUUGCCCCACUCCCCUCCAGAAUGCUGAGGCAUCACUGCUCCUGAGCACACAGUCCGGCAGCACCCCCUGACCCCGCGCUGUCCCCCAUUAUAGAGCAGUCAGAAAGCUUUUAGGGGCUCCGGUAACGCUGAAAGAUUGAUGGCGUAAAAUGGGAUGGAGGAGGGGAGAAGAGCAGGUGGUUAAGAAGAGAAUGUCCUCCUUAAUGGGUUGCCAGGAAUGUAAUUCAAUAAUUAUGAAAAGUGACUCAAGAGAGCAGGCUGGAUGGAUGGAUGGAUGGCUUCUGAUGGAGGCUGGUAGCUCCUUUGGUGUUCAUGCCUUGGCAUCCUCAAAGCGACAGAAACAGGUUAAUUUCUGCUCCCUUUCAUUGCUCAAUCAUCUGUUCUUCCACUGUCAGGUGAGUCAUGCUCUUUUGAAGAUAAAGAUCCAUAGAUGCGGAACAUCUCAGAUAACAUUUUUUUGGUUGAAGGUACUUGAGAGAAAACCACUCUGGAUAUAAUAAGAUGUAAGAUCAGCUGAUGUUUGCCGGUGAUGUUUUCACUUCACUUCUUUUAGAGCCUCCUGCCUGCCACUUAGUAAAGCACUUUGUAAUUGCUGAUUUUAAGUGCAUUUUACAUUAGAUACUAAAGACAUAUGCAAGGCCUUUUCUACCAUCUGAGCCCAUUAGCCAGUGAAGAUGCUAAAUCUUCUAAUGCAUUAGAGAACGUAAGUCAGAGAAAGGGAGCUGGGCUUGGUUUGUGUAGAACACAUUUUAGACCAGGCAGGCCUUCACCUGCCUGUUGUUACUCCUUAGUAGGUCAUAUUUUGAAUGUUUUGUAUAACUCUUAAACAGUCAAUAAAUCUCAAAAAAGCUUUACAAUCUAAUACAAUCCAUUAUGGAUAAUAAUUUUCUCAAUACUUUGAAUUUUAAGCUACCGGAUUUUAUUUUCAAAACUUUUGCAUACAUUUAGCCUUUUGUCAAAGGCUGGCUUUUUAUAGCUCCCCAAAUACAUGCUGUGUUUGAGGACCAGUGGGAAGAAUGCAUAGAGCUGUGGUUUAUCUUUAAACAUAUUUAGGCUAGAGAGGCAUUCAAAGAUCAAAGUUCUUCAAGAAUUUGUGUCAAGAGCUGAUGCUUCAAGGUGUCCUCCAUCCAUUGCGUGAACUUGACAUUUUUUAAUUACAGAAAAGAAUCAGCUUGUAGAGAUGUACUCCAAAAAUGUUGGGUUAGGAAGGGAGGAUUUUACUUUGAUUUUUAUUUAUUUCCUUUCUCUUUUUGGGAAAAUUUGGAACUAGAACUAAACUCUACCUUGUACUUUUCCAUGACACACAGCUUGAUUUUGGUGUAUCAUGCACCCCCGCAUUCAGACAAAAUCAGUCUCAGCUGUUCCGAUUUUCUUUGCUUUUUUCAUGGUAAAACUUUUAGUGGUAAACUUUUAGGAAAUAUUUUAGUGAAAAUAAUCAUUAGAAGACAUAAAGAAAAUCAGAAUGACAGCAAAGGGAGUGUAAAAAGAAAAUUAAUCAAAUUAAUUUAACUGAAUCAAAAUCCCAGUACAUAGCGAUGUGGUUGUAUUGUAGUUGACUAUACAAAGCUCUUCUGAUAUGAAGGCAGUUUUGGGCUAUGUAAAGUUAGGGGUGGUAGGUCUGUUCUUUUAGUUUUUACUUUUAGGUCAAACAAUUGUGUACAGUUGUAUUUUAUUUGGAUUCCCUCCCAAAUGUAUGCAACUUCAAUUACUCUGAAUCCAUAAGGCAGGACCUCAACAAGGCAAACAUCAAACACCAGAGGCUAAAUAAUCAGUUUUUUAAACUUUAUUUUAAAAAUCAAACAAUAUAAUCAUUAAUUUAUAUAAAACAAGUGUGAGCUAACAAAAAAAAUCACAAUUUAUGUAAAAACAGGUGUCAGCUAAAAAUCCC